rnacentral:rRNA from 1 species
CAAGUCGAGGGGCAGCAUGAACUUAGCUUGCUAAGUUUGAUGGCGACCGGCGCACGGGUGAGUAACACGUAUCCAACCUACCGAUAACUCUGGAAUAGCCUUUCGAAAGAAAGAUUAAUACCGGAUAGUAUACGAAUAUCGCAUGAUAUUUUAUUAAAGAAUUUCGGUUAUCGAUGGGGAUGCGUUCCAUUAGAUAGUAGGCGGGGUAACGGCCCACCUAGUCUUCGAUGGAUAGGGGUUCUGAGAGGAAGGUCCCCACAUUGGAACUGAGACACGGUCCAAACUCC